rnacentral:sRNA from 1 species
ACGGGAAGACGAACCAACCCGUACUUAAGUUUGGUUCUUACGUUAAUAAAGGAAAUACAAAAUG